CAUCAACAUGAGAGAAUAACGGUAACGUAAAGUUUAGUGAGAUCCAAUAGAGUUAACUGAAAACACAACUCCAGUGGUGAGGUAAGUUCAGGCCUGUCUCUGCAGACUAUCUGGAGCCGCUCAGGUAGUGACAGCUGCCCGCUCUUCUUGUUGCGCUCCCCGUGGUAUGAAGGGACGUGUUGUUGCCAGAUUCCAGGUGUGAGGCAGGGAUGCCGCCGUGCCCGAUCGCACUGUGUCCAGGGCGUUUGUUGGUAGUCCCAGCUUAGUUAGCAGGUCGGCUGCCUCCUUGAGGUCAUUGACAGAGUGUGUGUCGGUGCCGUGUAGUAUCUCCAGUGCGCAUUGCAGUCACCAUCGGUAAGUGAAGCCGUUGGUUCGGAUUAACACUGUAAAAGGCUUAAGUGACCUCCUC